rnacentral:rRNA from 1 species
AUUGAACGCUGGCGGCAGGCCUAACACAUGCAAGUCGAGCGGUAGAGAGAAGCUUGCUUCUCUUGAGAGCGGCGGACGGGUGAGUAAUGCCUAGGAAUCUGCCUGGUAGUGGGGAGUAACUUCGGAACGGACGCUAAUACCGCAUACGUCCUACGGGAGAAGACAGGGACCGUUCGGCCGUUGCGCUAUCAGAUGAGCCUAGGUCGGAUUAGCUAGUUGGUGAGGUAAUGGCUCACCAAGGCGACGAUCCGUAACUGGUCUGAGAGGAUGAUCAGUCACACUGGAACUGAGACACGGUCCAGACUCCUACGGGAGGCAG